GACGAACGCUGGCGGCGUGCUUAACACAUGCAAGUCGAACGGAAAGGCCCUGCUUUUGUGCGGUGCUCGAGUGGCGAACGGGUGAGUAACACGUGAGUACACUGUACCUGACUGUGGGGUAACUUCAGGAAACAGGGGCUCAUACCGCAUAGGAGCUACUGCUGCAUGGUGGGGGUUGGUAAGAUUCGGCGGUUGGGGAUGGAAUAGCGGCUUAUGCGCUUGAUGGUGGGGUAGUGGCUUACCAAGGCUUUGAAGGGUAGCCGGCCUGAGAGGGGGACCUGCGACAUGGGGACUGAGCUACGGCCCAGACUCGUACCGGACGCAGUAGUGGAGAGUUUUACACAAUGGGCCGAAGCCUGAUGCGACAACGCCGCGUGCGGGAUGACGUGCUUCGGGUUGUGAACCGCUUUCGCCUUAGCCGAGGCGUUAGUGACGGUAACGGGUAAAGAAGCACCGGCUAACUACGUG
rnacentral:rRNA from 1 species